UACGGGGGGGGCAAGCGUUGUUCGGAAUUACUGGGCGUAAAGGGUUCGUAGGCGGCCAACUAAGUCAGACGUGAAAUCCCCAGGCUCAACCUGGGAACUGCGUCUGAUACUGGAUGGCUUGAAUCCGGGAGAGGGAUGCAGAAUUCCAGGUGUAGCGGUGAAAUGCGUAGAUAUCUGGAGGAAUACCGGUGGCGAAGGCGGCAUCCUGGACCGGCAUUGACGCUGAGGAGCGAAAGCUAGGGGAGCAAACGGG
rnacentral:rRNA from 1 species